rnacentral:rRNA from 1 species
CCUACGGGACGCAGCAGUGGGGAAUAUUGGGCAAUGGGCGCAAGCCUGACCCAGCAACGCCGCGUGAAGGAAGAAGGCUUUCGGGUUGUAAACUUCUUUUCUGAGGGACGAAGAAAGUGACGGUACCUCAGGAAUAAGCCACGGCUAACUACGUGCCAGCAGCCGCGGUAAUAUGUAGGUGGCAAGCGUUAUCCGGAUUUAUUGGGUGUAAAGGGCGUGUAGGCGGGAAAGCAAAUCAGAUGUGAAAACUCAGGGCUCAACCCUGAGCCUGCCUUUGAAACUGUUUUUCUUGAGUGCUGGAGAGG